rnacentral:rRNA from 1 species
UGGGGAAUAUUGGACAAUGGGCGAAAGCCUGAUCCAGCCAUGCCGCGUGUGUGAAGAAGGUCUUCGGAUUGUAAAGCACUUUAAGUUGGGAGGAAGGGCAGUAAGCGAAUACCUUGCUGUUUUGACGUUACCGACAGAAUAAGCACCGGCUAACUCUGUGCCAGCAGCCGCGGUAAUACAGAGGGUGCAAGCGUUAAUCGGAAUUACUGGGCGUAAAGCGCGCGUAGGUGGUUCGUUAAGUUGAAUGUGAAAGCCCCGGGCUCAACCUGGGAACUGCAUCCAAAACUGGCGAGCUAGAGUAGGGCAGAGGGUGGUGGAAUUUCCUGUGUAGCGGUGUAAUGCGUAGAUAUAGGAAGGAACACCAGUGGCGAAGGCGACCACCUGGGCUCAUACUGACACUGAGGUGCGAAAGCGUGGGGAGCAAACAGG